rnacentral:lncRNA from 1 species
CGGGGGGGAGGGGCGGCGAGGCGAGGCCUGCGGAGCGGAGGAAGACAAACAUAAAGAUGAAGUGCUUAAUUCAAGGUCACACAAUGUCGGGGAUGGACCUCCAGAUUUCCUUACUGUACUUAUCCUGUAUUACAUGAAGGAAAUGAAAUAAAAAGACUGCAGCCCCACUCCCAGCUACUCAGUGAGGUGGUAGCUAGAGACGGAGUCUUGCUAUGUUGCCCAGGCUGGUCUUGAACUCCUCACCUCAAGCGAUCCUCCCGUCUUGGCCUCCCAAGUGUCAGGAUUACGGGCAUGUGCUAUCACACCCAACCUGAUACAUUGCCUUUAUAAAUUUUUUUUUCUUUAUUCUAAAAACCAGAAAAAACAAAACUGGAUACAUGUGCAGAACAUGCAGGUUUGUUACAUAGCUGUACGUGUGCCAUGGUGGUUUGCUGCACCUAUUGACCUAUCCUGUGAGACGUGGUCUUGUAACACAGUGGUUAAGAAUGUGACUUUGGAGCCAGCCUGCUAGGGGCUGAAUUCUGACUCAGCCAUUUACUAACUGUGUGACCUUAGGUCACAGAAUUUUCCACACUCCUUGACAGAGGUGCUUAACCCUUAUCCAUCAGCAUUCUCAGACAGCACCUCCGGUUAGGGACAGUAUCUGACCGUCCGACAUCCCUGCAGCCCCCAUGUGUCACACAGACUCAGCCUCAGGUAGAUGGUUUCCGUAGAUGGUGGCUUUCUUUGGACCCUUGACAUCAACCAGUUACUAUUUGGGGACCAGAUGUGCAGAGGUAAUGAAUACCAGGGAAUCAGGAAACCACUGG